CGAGAGCCCGGACUGGAGGAGUUGAGAAGAGGAGGAAGAAUAAUGGGAGGAGACAGGACCUUUUUCAACUUGACAAAUAGAUUUCUGAGAGAGCAGACACCAUCUUAUUUCUGUUGAAUUGUAUUUAGUAACUCAAAAGGCAUAUACCAAGCUGUCAGAAGCAGCUUCAUUUAAAAGCAUGAUUUAGUGUGGAGACAGUAUUGGAUCCAGAGACAGAAG
rnacentral:lncRNA from 10 species